rnacentral:rRNA from 1 species
AUACGUAGGGGGCGAGCGUUAUCCGGAUUUAUUGGGCGUAAAGCGUGUGUAGGCGGUUUGUUAAGUUUAAGAUUAAAGCCCGAGGCUUAACCUCGGUUCGUCUUAAAAACUGGAAGACUUGAGUGCCGGAGGGGUAAGUGGAAUUCCCAGUGUAGCGGUGAAAUGCGGAGAGAUUGGGAGGAACAUCAGUGGCGAAGGUGACUUACUGGACGGUAACUGACGCGGAGGCGCGAAAGUAUGGGGAGAAAACAGGAUGAGAUGCCGUGGUAGUCCACGCCGUAAACGAUGAAUACUAGGUGUAGGGGGUAUCGACUCCCUCUGUGCCGCAGUUAACACAAUAAGUAUUCCGCCUGGGGAGUACGGCCGCAAGGUUGAAACUCAAAUGAAUUGACGGGG